UACGUAGGGGGCUAGCGUUGUCCGGAUUUAUUGGGCGUAAAGAGCGUGUAGGCGGCCAGGUAGGUCUGCUGUGAAAACUCGAGGCUCAACCUCGAGACGUCGGCGGAAACCAUCUGGCUAGAGUCCGGAAAGAGGAGAGUGGAAUUCCUGGUGUAGCGGUGAAAUGCGCAGAUAUCAGGAAGAACACCCGUGGCGAAGGCGGCUCACUGGACCGGUAUUGACGCUGAGGUGCGAAAGCGUGGGGAGCAAACAGG
rnacentral:rRNA from 1 species